rnacentral:rRNA from 1 species
CAGCCGCCGCGGGAAUACGUAGGGUGCGAGCGUUAAUCGGAAUUACUGGGCGUAAAGCGUGCGCAGGCGGUUCGUUAAGACAGAUGUGAAAUCCCCGGGCUUAACCUGGGAACUGCAUUUGUGACUGGCGAGCUAGAGUAUGGCAGAGGGGGGUAGAAUUCCACGUGUAGCAGUGAAAUGCGUAGAGAUGUGGAGGAAUACCGAUGGCGAAGGCAGCCCCCUGGGCCAAUACUGACGCUCAUGCACGAAAGCGUGGGGAGCAAACAGGAUUAGAGACCCGCGUAGUCCCUGUCUCUUAUAC